GUUUUUAUAGUUUAAAAAAAAAAUAUUGGUCUUGUAAACCAAAGUUAAAUAUUUAUUUUAAAAACU
rnacentral:tRNA from 1 species